CUACGGGGGGCUCCAGUGGGGAAUAUUGCACAAUGGGGGAAACCCUGAUGCAGCAACGCCGCGUGGAGGAUGACACAUUUCGGUGCGUAAACUCCUUUUAUAGGUCAAGAUAAUGACGGUAGCCUAUGAAUAAUCGCCGGCUAACUCCGUGCCAGCAGCCGCGGUAAUACGGAGGGCGCAAGCGUUACUCGGAAUCACUGGGCGUAAAGAGCAUGUAGGCGGAUUGUUAAGUUGGAAGUGAAAUCCUAUGGCUUAACCAUAGAACUGCUUCCAAAACUGAUAAUCUAGAGUAUGGGAGAGGUAGAUGGAAUUUCUGGUGUAGGGGUAAAAUCCGUAGAGAUCAGAAGGAAUACCGAUUGCGAAGGCGAUCUACUGGAACAUUACUGACGCUCAGAUGCGAAAGCGUGGGGAGCAAACAGGAUUAGAUACCCCAGUAGUC
rnacentral:rRNA from 1 species